GUUUGGUGGGCGGGACCUGUUUUGUGGGCGUGGCCGUGGCGGGCUCAAAUGGCGGCGGCGCUGGGCGCCUAGGCCGGCGGGGGCCAUGAGCGCCGCCCGGCCCCAGUUUAGCAUCGAUGAUGCCUUCGAGCUGACCCUGGAGGACGCGGGGCCUGGGCCCGAGUCCAGCGGGGUCGCCCGCUUCGGGCCGCUGCACUUCGAGCGCCGGGCUCGGUUCGAGGUGGCUGAUGAAGACAAGCAGUCCCGGCUACGCUACCAGAACCUGGAAAAUGAUGAGGACGGAACCCAGGCCUCUCCGGAGCCAGAUGGGGGAGUCAGCACCAGGGAUUCAGGGCACAUGUCUAUCCGCAGCUCCCAGUGGUCCUUCAGCACCAUCAGCAGCAGCACACAGCGCUCCUACAACGCCUGCUGCAGCUGGACCCAACAUCCUUUGAUCCAGAAAAACCGCCGGGUAGUGCUGGCCUCCUUCCUGCUUCUGCUGUUGGGGCUAGGGCCUGCCAAAGUACCCUGCCCUGGAAACAGCUUUGUGCGCAUCCUGGGAGGUGUUCUGCCCAGGGAGCAUCAGUUUAGGUGGGAGACGCAUCAGGCCGAAGCCUGGCUGGAAGACCCUGCCCUUACUCCCCCCUGUCCUUCCCCUCCACAAUCCCAUAUGUGUGCAGUGCUUAUCCUGGUCGGCGUGGGACUGGAGGUGGCCCCCUCUCCAGGUGUCUCCAGUGCCAUCUUCUUUGUGCCGGGCAUCCUGCUGUUAGUCCCAGGAGUCUACCAUGUGAUCUUCAUCUACUGUGCUGUCAAGGGCCGCCGGGGCUUCCAAUUCUUCUACCUGCCCUAUUUUGAGAAGUGAGCUACAACUGGCCAGUGGCUCACCAGUGAUCCAAGGCCUCAGGUCACCUCCACGCGUCCACAGGGUAUUCCUCCAACCUACACCUGGUUCUGUUCCUUUCACCUGAGGCCCUCUGGGACCCUCACAACCACCAGGCCCCUUUGAAUUUGCUCAGGAAGUUUGGAGCAUGCCAGCCUGGGGAUAUUGCCUCUUACCUGAUGUGUGCCUUAACUUAUUUCUGGGUUCUGGACUCCUGGGUUGGUGUAAUUUUGUGCUAAUAAAAGGGUAAUUACUUCC
ensembl:processed_transcript